AUAUGUACUCUAUGGUAUUGUGACUCUUUAAUCUGUGACUAGUUGACUACAGCCAAAAAGCUUAAAGCUUCUUUACUUGUUAGUUGUUCUUGACUAAAGUGAAAGUGUGUCGUAGAGAAAAGUAAAUGUGUAGUAUCUACAACAAAAUUUAUUCGGAAACCAACACCAGAAAGAAAAAAAAAGAGAAUAAAAAUAGUGAAUAGUAAUCGUAGUCGACUGUACAACAAUUACGGUACCCAGUAUUGUUCAAAAAUAAUAGCAUGUUAUUUAGAAAAAGAUUGAGAAAGUAGUUCUGAAGAUGCAUGGAAACAUCUAUAUCUCUCAAAGUUAGAAAUCAUCGGAAGAUCAGAAUAUUAGAUGAAGAUGGAGAAUAAAUUUUAUUCUAUAACAAUACUUGAGGAAAUGUAAGUGAAUUGUAAACAGCGAGUUAUAAUAUAAAGCAGUGUGAUCACGUGGACUUGAUAAAUAUGGUGUUACAAUUCCAUUUAAAGGAGCCAUCGGAUAUAAAACAGUUUUAGUAUUGUUCAAAUCACAAUGUAAGUAUCAAAACGAACUUCUUGGUUACCAACUAAAUUGGUAACAAUGUCUAUGAUUUGUAAAAGUUUUACAAUAAAUAAUUUGCCCAUUG